AUGUGAUUCGUAAGUAGUGUGAUAAAGAAAAAGAAAAGGAUGCAAAGCGGAGGAGAUGAAGUUACCAUUAAAGAAUUGGUUUCAAAUCUCUACUUACAGAAAAUAACUUAUGAUGUAAGGAAACUAAAGGCAGAAGUGAAGUUUCUAUUAUGCACUCUUCCUGAAACUCCGAGAACUACUGCUCACUGAAUUAAAGUUGCACAUCUGAUCAAAUGGCAUGAGGUAGGUGUCUCAAGGCAAGACCACAUCUGUUUAGCUGUUGUACAUCCUAUAAUGAGGAACAUUGACUCCUCAGUCAUUGUCCCAGAAAGCCAACUCCUAACCAAAACGUCACAUUCCUCCCAUUCUGUGAAUUUGGGAUUAGGGACUGUUUCACAUUUCUCACUCUACUAUUUCAGAUGGUGCUUCCUCCUUAAUUAUGCUUGUGACUUUAAGUGUUUGCAUUAUUUAGAUAAUUUGGGUUCUCCAAACCAGAUAAUUGGUUGGUUUGAGUUUGAUGGGGCAGAUAGCUAUAAGUUGGUGAAGGGAAGAGGAAAUUAACAUUUUUCUAGUAGUGACUGUUAUUUGCCAACCUUAUCUCUUCAGA